rnacentral:rRNA from 1 species
UAUGUAUUGUGCCAGCCGCCGCGGUAAUACGUAUGGUGCAAGCGUUAUCCGGAUUUACUGGGUGUAAAGGGUGCGUAGGUGGUAUGGCAAGUCAGAAGUGAAAGGCUGGGGCUCAACCCCGGGACUGCUUUUGAAACUGUCAAACUAGAGUACAGGAGAGGAAAGCGGAAUUCCUAGUGUAGCGGUGAAAUGCGUAGAUAUUAGGAGGAACACCAGUGGCGAAGGCGGCUUUCUGGACUGAAACUGACACUGAGGCACGAAAGCGUGGGGAGCAAACAGG